rnacentral:rRNA from 1 species
GAUGAACGCUGGCGGCGUGCCUAAUACAUGCAAGUCGAGCGAACGGACGAGAAGCUUGCUUCUCUGAUGUUAGCGGCGGACGGGUGAGUAACACGUGGAUAACCUACCUAUAAGACUGGGAUAACUUCGGGAAACCGGAGCUAAUACCGGAUAAUAUUUUGAACCGCAUGGUUCAAAAGUGAAAGACGGUUUUGCUGUCACUUAUAGAUGGAUCCGCGCUGCAUUAGCUAGUUGGUAAGGUAACGGCUUACCAAGGCAACGAUGCAUAGCCGACCUGAGAGGGUGAUCGGCCACACUGGAACUGAGACACGGUCCAGACUCCUACGGGAGGCAGCAGUAGGGAAUCUUCCGCAAUGGGCGAAAGCCUGACGGAGCAACGCCGCGUGAGUGAUGAAGGUCUUCGGAUCGUAAAACUCUGUUAUUAGGAAAGAACAUAUGGUAAGUAACUGUGCACAUCUUGACGGUACCUAAUCAGAAAGCCACGGCUAACUACGUG